rnacentral:tRNA from 1 species
CGGCGUCUGGGGCGUGGCGCUGGCCGGCUUCGGCCUGGCCGCGCCACUGUGGCUGGCGCUCGGCUGCCUGGCCGUGGCAGGCGCCGCCGAC